AUUGAACGCUGGCGGCAGGCCUAACACAUGCAAGUCGAGCGGAUGAAGGGAGCUUGCUCCUGGAUUCAGCGGCGGACGGGUGAGUAAUGCCUAGGAAUCUGCCUGGUAGUGGGGGAUAACGUCCGGAAACGGGCGCUAAUACCGCAUACGUCCUGAGGGAGAAAGUGGGGGAUCUUCGGACCUCACGCUGUCAGAUGAGCCUAGGUCGGAUUAGCUAGUUGGUGGGGUAAAGGCCUACCAAGGCGACGAUCCGUAACUGGUCUGAGAGGAUGAUCAGUCACACGGGAACUGAGACACGGUCCAGACUCCCACGGGAGGCAGCAGGGGGGAAUAUGGGACAAUGGGCGAAAGCCUGAUCCAGCCUGGCCGCGGGUGUGAAGAAGGUCUUCGGAUUGUAAAGCACUUUAAGUUGGGAGGAAGGGCAGUAAGUUAAUACCUUGCUGUUUGGACGUUACCAACAGAAUAAGCCCCGGCUAACUUCUU
rnacentral:rRNA from 1 species